UCAUAAACAAUAAAUCGGUGGUGUCAAACUCAUUUUGUGUCUCGGGGCACUUCGGAGUUACGUCUUUCCUCGGAGGGCCGUUCUAUGACAGUUGAGACCAC